UUAACUAAAACAUAAUGUUCAGUGUGACUUUAAAAUUAAAUACCUGGGACAUAAUGUCUCGUGAGGCAGAUAUGCAGUGGAGUUAUUUAUAUGCUUACACUUCAACAUGUUAGCUUAUUGUAUUAUUGAAAACCAAAUCCACUCUGGGAGAUUCAAAGUGCUUCUAUUUGACUUCUUUUCAGAGAACUUCAUACUAAGUUCGAUACAUUCCCUUAUGAGGUCAUCUAAUCCCUUUCUCUUUCUUGUUAGCAUCAGUUAGUAUCACCCAACCCUGUCGUUGAGCAUCUAUGGGAAGAAAUAAUAGAACAUGUCUCUACUAUUGAAGAAUCUGUGAUCUGGAGGUAGGGCUUAUUGGGCCGAUGUAUGGCCCCAUUACAUAUGUAGUAGAAAAUGCACUCGCUGGGUUCUCAUCAGUAAGAAUCAGAAAUUGACUCCAUAUUUAGGGGAAAAAAAGCGGAGGGAGAAGAGGUUUAUGGAGGGUUGUUGGUGGCACGAGUGUUGGGAACAGUUGGCAUCAGAAGGAUGCACUUCUGUGCUGAAUCUGACCUUCAAACAUUCUCCCUGAAUUAGCACCGCUUGGCCAGCGCUCAUGGUACCAGGAACAAGUAUCUGACCUGUGAAGCCUGGAUUGCCGGCCUGCCUCAGGGGGCGGUGGUGAAACAACGCGGCCCCUUGACUUCUGCUAAUAGAGGAGGGAGGGUGUGGUGGCAGGUGUUGGACUUACCUUCUGCCAAGGCCUUGAAAGGUGGGAAAUGUUCCCAAACAGGAGAUGGAGGAACAAAUGGAACGGUGGGCGUUGAAGGCUGGAUAGCCAGCAACAAAACAGAGCUGCCCCUUGUUGACCCGGUAGCAAAAACAACCAACUAUGGAGAAAUGCUGAUAUAUAUUUUGCUUUAUGCCAUAUAGAAGGUGUUUUCAAGAGUUACCUUUGUAAGGAAUCCUAUGUCAGAUGCACUAGGAUACGACCUACACCAAGGAGCUCUUGGUGCCUCCUUUUACAAACUAGUGAUGUGAAACAUGGCCUCAGAUUGAUUUGAUGUGAGGGAGGAUUGCCUUGUAAUGGAUUGUUCUAAAGGAGAUUUAGCUGCAUAAGUAACCGCACCACUGGUGGGGAAGGCAGGUCUGAGUUUUGCCUUGAAGGCCCCUCCCCUUCAGUAAGUAGAUCCUGAUGGAAGAUUCCAUCACAGGCUCCAUAAUCUCACCAGACAAUUAUUCUUUAAGAACUGGGCACUCUGAGAUUCCCUUUUUUAUUUUGUAUUUUAUUUCACGUUUAUGCUAUUGCCUUCAUGGCUCCUUCAGGGCAGUGACUGAGCCUGAAUUGUUGUUUUUAAGGAUGGAUUCAAACUCCAUCACAGCUGGUAGUGUUUGCAGCAGCACAGGUGAUUUUCUUACUGUCAGUGUAGCAAGUUUUUUUUUUUUUUUUUUUUCCUUUAAAUUAACUGAGUGCCUGCCAUGAGGUCUCGCAGGCUCUUCAAGGUCCCGCUUCAGCUCUCAGGGCCUCCUGGGACACAGCCCGUGGCCCAUCCUCCUCUUUCCUGAAUUCCCCGGGGGACUCCGAGGUGAGGAUACUCAGACCUGACUUCGCGUGGUCUAGCUCUGUUCUCCGGUCCUGUCCUGUAAGAGGGCUACUCACCUUCUCCUCGGGUCCGGACUUCUGUGCUGCCUGACUGAACCUCAUCCGGUCUGGUUUACAGAGCAGUCGACACUAUGGAGUCCCGUCACUGUGUGGACACAGUGUGUGUGGCCUACUCGCCUCGCCUCCCUCUCUCCAUUCUCCUUUCAAGAAAAGUAAAGACUUUCAGUUCUGCAGCUUUUCCGGGCACCGCUGAGCAUCUGUGGACUUAGCUUUCUCCUUCCGCACUCAGCCGUCAGAGGGGCCUUUAACCAGGACGUUCAGAGUCCUGAAGAGACUCUGCCCAGUAAGUCACAGUGCCCAGAACCCUAGAGUUCGUUCACACCAGCAGGGCCCAGACCCGGGGAUUUCCUGGCCCAGCCAAAUUUCAAGGCCGUGUGAUUUAGAGAUGGGAUUUGCGGCACAGGGGUAAAGACGAGUGUAUCAACAAUAAAACAAAACCAGAAAACCAACCAAACUUCGAGGACAAGAUUUUGUCACAAAAUAGGUGGAAGAACAUUAUUUCAGAAUAAAGGAGGGUCACUGAACUUAAAUGCAUUUAAUCUGAUGAAGGAGUCAUGGGAUGGCCUUCAUUUUUGUCAUGUUGGGGGGAACGUAUUAUUGCCAAUGCCCUCAUUACACACCGUGCCGUGGGUGGUGCUGAAUGGAAGAAACCUGGCCCCAAACAGCGCCCUCUAGGCCUGAUGGAGAGACAGGACAAACACAGGUGACUGACAGAUGCAUGCACGACUCUGUCCCUGCUGUUGGCAAACUCAAAAUAGAGCUGGGAGAGCAGAGAAUCUUCUGAGAGGGUCUGGCUUGAAUGGAGAGCACAUGGAAAGCACACGGUUUGGUCUGUGCCAGCGAUGCAGGGAAAAUGCCACAUCCCCAGAGAAAUAGAGAAUACAAUCCUAGAAUUCUAAAUGGAACCACAAAGGAAUCUAAAUGGCCAAAGCAAUUGUGAGCAAGAAGCACAAAGAUGGAGGCAUUAUACUUCCUGACUUCAGAGGAUAUUACAAAGCUACAAUAUUCAAUACAGUAUGGUACUGGCAUAAAAAAACAGACACCUAGACCAAUGGAACAAAACAGGGAGCCUAGAAAUAAACUC